CCUACGGGGGGCAGCAGUCGAGAAUCAUUCACAAUGGGGGAAACCCUGAUGGUGCGACGCCGCGUGGGGGAAUGAAGGUCUUCGGAUUGUAAACCCCUGUCAUAUGGGAGCAAAUUAAAAAGAUAGUACCACAAGAGGAAGAGACGGCUAACUCUGUGCCAGCAGCCGCGGUAAUACAGAGGUCUCAAGCGUUGUUCGGAAUCACUGGGCGUAAAGGGUGCGUAGGAUGUUUCGUAAGUCGUGUGUGAAAGGCGCGGGCUCAACCCGAGGACGGCACAUGAUACUGCGAGACUUGAGUACAGGAGGGGUAAGCGGAAUGCGCGGUGUAGCAGUGAAAUGCGUAGAUAUCGAGAGGAACACUCGUGGCGAAGGCGGGUUCCUGGACAUUAACUGACGCUGAGGCACGAAGGCCAGGGGAGCGAAAGGGAUUAGAUACCCUUGUAGUC
rnacentral:rRNA from 1 species